rnacentral:rRNA from 1 species
AUACAGAGGGUGCAAGCGUUAAGCGGAUUUACUGGGCGUAAAGCGCGCGUAGGCGGCUAAUUAAGUCAAAUGUGAAAUCCCCGAGCUUAACUUGGGAAUUGCAUUCGAUACUGGUUAGCUAGAGUGUGGGAGAGGAUGGUAGAAUUCCAGGUGUAGCGGUGAAAUGCGUAGAGAUCUGGAGGAAUACCGAUGGCGAAGGCAGCCAUCUGGCCUAACACUGACGCUGAGGUGCGAAAGCAUGGGGAGCAAACAGGAUUAGAAACCCCGGUAGUCC